rnacentral:rRNA from 1 species
CAAUAGCGUAUAUUAAUGUUGUUGCAGUUAAAAGCUCGUAGUCGGAUUUCAAUGCGGGUUGACCGGUCUGCCGAUUGGUAUGCACUGGCCGAGCCGUAUUUCCUCCCGGAGACCUCGUCUACUCUUAACUGAGGCGGACGGGGAACGGGAAUUUUACGUUGAUGGAAUCAUGAGAUGUUCAAAGCAGGCUUAGUAUUGUAUGUGUUAGCAUGGGAUGAAUAAAAUAAGGAGCUUUGGGUGCUAUUUUGUUGGUUUCGAACACCUAAGUAAUGAUUAAUAGGGAUAGUCAGGGGCACUCGUAUUCCACCGAGAGAGGUGAAAUUCUUAGACCAGUGGAAGACGAACUUCUGCGAAAGCAUUUGCCAGGGAUGUUUUCACUGAUCAAGAACGAAAGUUAGGGGAUCGAAGAUGAUUAGAUACC